AAAAAAAAAAAAAAAAAAAUCAGAUUUGGAAAGGUUCCAACAGAUUUGGAGCUAGCAGUUGAAUUGGAGCAGUUUGAGGUAGGAUUUUAGAUUACUAGACAAAUGGUGGAAUUUUGAUUUGAAAUUUAAUAUGGGUCUAUUUGGGAUGUAUCUAAGGUGAUUCUAAAGUUAGAACAAAUUCUGGGCAGAUUUGAUAGGGGUUCACUAAAACAACACAUAAAUACAAUUUAAGGAAAAGUAGGGUUUGGACUCUGAAGGUCAUGUUUCCAGAAGCUAAAACAAGCCAUUUUGAGUGUUUUAAGUUUAGUUUUCAUGAAAAUAAUGAUUAGAAAAAGAUCUAGGUAAAAUGGAAAAGUUUGGUGUUUUCAGACUAAGUCAAAUGGAAUGGUUAAGAAAGAAUUAUAAAAUCUGAUGGAAAGAAAGUUAGAAUAAUUAGGAAAAAAAAAGAAAAAAACUUGAAGUCUCCUUGGAAAUGUAUGCAUGCCACCAAGAACACAAGAAUCUUGAUCUCCAAUUUUUGAUAAGCAAAGCUCCACAAAGAAAGAAGAACCAUGCAAAUCGCUACACUAGAAAGUGAUAAGACUUGAUCAUACACCAUUCUGUGAAGAGAUAAGAUGUAGAAGAAAACAAGUUUAAAGUUCAGAUUUUAGUAAUCUCAAAAAAUCUACAAUGUUUAUAUAAAGUGGCCUAUUUAUAGGCAUUACAAGAAAACCAACUCCUAAUAGGAAAACUAAUUAAAAUAGGAAGUCAAAAAGUAAAUAGGAAAUCAUAAGCUAAUUAAAAGACAUAAAGUAAAUAGGAGAAUAUAAUCUUGAUCAGAUUCUUCUUGAUUUGGUGCCACCUUAGGUUGAAAAAUCAACUCCUUACGCAGCUUGGAUAAAUUUCUCUCUUUAGCUUUGACUCUCCAACUUGCAUAAGAAUGCUACACGCCACCUUGGUCCCACACUCCUCCCACAUGCCACUUAUGGUGGUCCUUCAUGUAUUGGAACCUUCUUCCCAUUUGAUUAGAGUUGACAAUUUUGCCCUUGACGUGGUCAUGGGCCCAACAUACACGGCUUGAAUCAAGGCCUACAUUCUCUUCAUUGUCAUUCCCAUGAUGCACAUCAAAUAAUCAGUAUUUCAACUAACCUCAACUAGUUUGGAAUUAGAAUUUUGCAGAGUUUGGCUGAAGAAUUGAAGAAAGGAGAUAUUCAUGUAGAAGUGGUGAUUUGUAGGAACUUCAGGUCACUGUCCGAAAAAAGAACAACGGUUUAAUAUUCAAGGAUAAAACGUUAUUAAGAGUUUCAGUGUUAUGGGGCUGCAUGGUUUCUCAAAAUUUUUUUCUAUGGCAUAAAAAUACAGAAUUUACUUUUAAACAAAUAUUCAUAAUCCCUGAAUAAUUCCACCAACAGAGGUUUCAUGAAAAACUCAAUGAAAAUAGCUUAUGGUGUUAGUGGAGUUUUUUCCCCCUUCAAAUUUGUAAUUACAAUGUGAUCCGUUUUUGGUGAUGCAGAAACUUGAUUUUAGUUGGGUCAGUUUUGACUACAUGUCGACACUUCAUGUGUUAAAUAUGGGAACUGAUUAAUCUCCUGAAAUGAUAAGCUUUAGUGUGUGCUCAAUAGAGUUGUGAUCUUAAAGAUACAGAAACUUUUUCAAUAUUGGUUUUGUUGAAGUGUGCCAACUUCUAUCCUAAAGCCAAUUUUGUUGCUUUAAAACAGUGGUCUGGUGGUGUAGCAGAGAGAUGGCAAAUUUUGUAGAUUCAAUGACCAUAAAUAUUAAUAAUAAGGGUGCACUCCAAAUACCUUGUCUUUGAUGGACUGCUAUGAACUAUGCAGCUAAUAUUAAAUAAUUGCUAUAAAAUGUUAAAAUAAGAUUACAGAAAGAACAUUGAGAGAGGAAGUGCUCCCAUAGUGUGAGGAGAGCCCUGUGGUCUAACCUUGACAUUUCUACUGUACAGAAUAACCUUGUUGAGCUUAGUGUAUCAAAUGUGUAUUCAAAUGUCGAGACCAUUUAAUGGGCUGGGCCAAAUUUGUGUUUGAAUCCCUUUUCCUGGUUCCAUGCAAGCCUGGUCUGCUUGAAGGUUCGGUCCGUGCUCUUUAACCAAAUCUUGCCCAAGCAAAUAAAAGCGUGUGUAUUUUACAGCUUGCUUGUUUCCGGUCAGGUUGGUUCUUGAGGGAUUAUCAAUCCAAUGCCUAGCCUGCUUUAUUGUGGGCCUUAGUGAAGUUGGGACCAGUAGGGCCCAAGUGCAAAACCUUAGCACAUGAUUGGCAAUUUUGUGGGCCAGGUGUCUCUCCAGCCUGUGACAGGUCUACCAAAUGCCAGUUUUUGUAUAAUUUUAGCAUGUGCAAUAUUUUAUGCUAUUUUAUAAUAUCUCCAACUUCUUUGUGUGAGAUUGAAUGAAAAUAUGGACCCAUAUUUUUAAAGCAGAUGCUAUAGAUGCUAAUUUAUAACCUACUAUUUUCUUUAUGUAGAUAGCAUAUAUUGGCCAGUGUUUAUUGUUGCAACUGCAGCUGCUAUAGUUGCAAGUCAAGCUACAAUAUCUGCAACUUUUUCAAUAAUCAAGCAGGCUCAUGCGCAUGGUUGUUUCCCUAGGGUCAAAGUUGUACAUACAUCAAAGAAGUUCCUUGGUCAGAUAUAUGUUCCUGAUAUAAAUUGGAUUCUUAUGAUUCUU
rnacentral:misc_RNA from 1 species